AUGCACGGCUCCAGUUGCCGGAUGGGUUCUUGUUCUCAAGUCGCGCCCACCACCAAAGUGGCCUCCUGGCCUGGCACAGCCGACCAGCCCCACCAGGAAAUCCGGGACUGGACCUGGGCAGAACAGAAUGGCUAUCCUCCAGAGUUUAGACAACUGGUCCACACUGAAGACAUUGUUUCUGAAAGAGUUCCCAUGACAACCUCCCUCUUCAAGGGUAUAGAGAAUUUAUUCAAAGUCAGAUACAGACUGGCCAAACCACCUUCUACAAAGCGGACAGGAAAAAAGAGCCUACAGAAAAGGUAGGAGUUGUUAUAAAAUUGCCUUAAUUCCGCUCUCUCUGCGUUACAAGCCGGGGGUGGGUAGUGGACUGCCGUGCUGUGUGCUCCA
rnacentral:lncRNA from 1 species